rnacentral:rRNA from 1 species
GACGAACGCUGGCGGCGUGCCUAACACAUGCAAGUCGAGCGAUGAAGCUGGAGCUUGCUCCGGUGGAUUAGUGGCGAACGGGUGAGUAACACGUGAGUAAUCUGCCCUUGACUCUGGGAUAACUGCGGGAAACUGUAGCUAAUACCGGAUACGACACCUUUGGGCAUCCGAUGGGUGUGGAAAGAAUUUCGGUCAAGGAUGAACUCGCGGCCUAUCAGCUAGUUGGUGAGGUAAUGGCUCACCAAGGCGACGACGGGUAGCCGGCCUGAGAGGGUGACCGGCCACACUGGGACUGAGACACGGCCCAGACUCCUACGGGAGGCAGCAGUGGGGAAUAUUGCACAAUGGGCGAAAGCCUGAUGCAGCAACGCCGCGUGAGGGAUGAAGGCCUUCGGGUUGUAAACCUCUUUUAGUUGGGAAGAAGCGAAAGUGACGGUACCAACAGAAAAAGCACCGGCUAACUACGUGCCAGCCGCCGCCGUAA